rnacentral:rRNA from 1 species
UGGGGAAUAUUGGGCAAUGGGGGAAACCCUGACCCAGCAACGCCGCGUGAGGGAAGAAGGCCUUCGGGUUGUAAACCUCUGUCGCAGGGGACGAAGAAAAUGACGGUACCCUGUGAGGAAGCCCCGGCUAACUACGUGCCAGCAGCCGCGGUAAUACGUAGGGGGCGAGCGUUGUCCGGAAUUACUGGGCGUAAAGGGUGCGUAGGCGGCUAAUUAAGUUGGAUGUGAAAUCCCCGGGCUUAACUUGGGUGGUGCAUUCAAAACUGGUUAGCUAGAGUGCAGGAGAGGGAAGCGGAAUUCCUAGUGUAGCGGUGAAAUGCGUAGAUAUUAGGAGGAACACCAGUGGCGAAGGCGGCUUUCUGGACUGUAACUGACGCUGAGGCACGAAAGCGUGGGGAGCAAACA